rnacentral:rRNA from 1 species
UGGGGAAUAUUGCACAAUGGGCGAAAGCCUGAUGCAGCGACGCCGCGUGAGGGAUGACGGCCUUCGGGUUGUAAACCUCUUUCAGCAGGGACGAAGCGCAAGUGACGGUACCUGCAGAAGAAGCACCGGCUAACUACGUGCCAGCAGCCGCGGUAAUACGUAGGUUGCAAGCGUUGUCCGGAAUUACUGGGCGUAAAGAGUUCGUAGGCGGUUUGUCGCGUCGUUUGUGAAAACCAGCAGCUCAACUGCUGGCUUGCAGGCGAUACGGGCAGACUUGAGUACUGCAGGGGAGACUGGAAUUCCUGGUGUAGCGGUGAAAUGCGCAGAUAUCAGGAGGAACACCGGUGGCGAAGGCGGGUCUCUGGGCAGUAACUGACGCUGAGGAACGAAAGCGUGGGUAGCGAACAGG